rnacentral:rRNA from 1 species
UACGGGGGGUGCGAGCGUUAAUCGGAUUUACUGGGCGUAAAGCGAGCGUAGGCGGUUAUGUAAGUUGGAUGUGAAAUCCCGGGGCUUAACCCCGGAACUGCAUCCAAAACUGCAUGGCUAGAGUACAGUAGAGGGAGGUAGAAUUUCCGGUGUAGCGGUGAAAUGCGUAGAGAUCGGAAGGAAUACCAGUGGCGAAGGCGGCCUCCUGGACUGAUACUGACGCUGAGGUUCGAAAGCGUGGGGAGCAAACAGGAUUAGAUACCCUGGUAGUCCACGCCGUAAACGAUGAGUGCUAGCUGUUGGUGCCGCAGGGCAUUAGUAGCGCAGUUAACGCGAUAAGCACUCCGCCUGGGGAGUACGGCCGCAAGGUUAAAACUCAAAUGAAUUGACGGGGGCCCGCACAAGCGGUGGAGCAUGUGGUUUAAUUCGAUGCAACGCGAAGAACCUUACCUACCCUUGACAUCCUGCGAAUCUGGUAGAGAUACCGGAGUGCCUUCGGGAAUGCAGAGACAGGUGCUGCAUGGCUGUCGUCAGCUCGUGUUGUGAAAUGUUGGGUUAAGUCCCGUAACGAGCGCAACCCUUGUCCUUAGUUGCCAGCGAUUCGGUCGGGGACUCUAAGGAGACUGCCGGUGACAAACCGGAGGAAGGUGGGGACGACGUCAAGUCAUCAUGGCCCUUACGGGUAGGGCUACACACGUGCUACAAUGGUCGGUACAGAGGGAAGCAAAGUCGCGAGGCCAAGCAAAUCUCAUAAAGCCGAUCGUAGUCCGGAUUGCAGUCUGAAACUCGACUGCAUGAAGUCGGAAUCGCUAGUAAUCGUGAAUCAGAAUGUCACGGUGAAUACGUUCCCGGGCCU